rnacentral:tRNA from 1 species
CCUAAUAAUGGUUAUGGGGUUAAGGGGAGCUGUGGGGGAGGGUUGACCUUAGUGGCAAGGGUAGCAGAU